UCAUGCCAAAGAAUAAAGGCAAAAGAGGUAAAAACAGGUGCAGAGGGAAAAAUGAAAAUGAAUCUGAGAAGAGAGAGUUGGUGUUUAAAGAGGAUGGGCAGGAGGAGUAUGCUCAGGUGAUCAAAAUGCUGGGAUGAGGACGCUUGGAAGCAAUGUGCUUUGAUGGUGUGAAGAGGCUAUGCCACAUAAGAGGGAAGCUGAGAAAAAAGGUUUGGAUAAAUACCUCGGACAUUAUAUUGAUUGGUCUACGAGACUAUCAAGAUAACAAAGCUGAUGUAAUUUUAAAGUAUAAUGCAGAUGAAGCAAGAAGUUUGAAGGCCUAUGGAGAACUUCCAGAACAUGCCAAAAUCAAUGAAACAGACACAUUUGGUUCUGGGGGUGAUGAUGAAAUCCAGUUUGAUGAUAUUGGAGAUGAUGAUGAAGACAUUGAUGAUAUCUAACCUGACCUAAGCAUGUUACAUUCCAAGUUCNCUGAAGAUAGCUCUACACAACUGGCAUCUUGACCUUCAGCUGUUAAGUAAAACUUCAUUUGGCAUGUGUAUGACUUGUUAAUGCAAAUUGAUGAAUUUUAUUUUUUGAAGUAUUAUAUUUCUUUNAAAACNAAAGAUNUUGAGUUAUCUUAAGUGACAUGUUAACACUUUGUGCUUAUGGAUGUAAUUGAACUUAGGGCANAGCAGUGAGCACUGUUAAGAGACUGCCUUUCCAUUUGUGACGCUUCAUUUCUGCAUGUGAGUGGUUUGUGUCAACAGU